UACGUAGGGUGCUAGCGUUGUUCGGAAUCACUGGGCGUAAAGUGUGUGUAGGCGGUUAUUUAAGUCUGGUGUGAAAUCCUCGGGCUCAACCCGAGAACUGCAUCGGAAACUGGAUGACUGGAGUGCGGUAGAGGAAAGUGGAAUUCCUGGUGUAGAGGUGAAAUUCGUAGAUAUCAGGAGGAAUACCAGUUGCGAAGGCGACUUUCUGGGCCGUUACUGACGCUGAGACACGAAAGCGUGGGGAGCAAACAGG
rnacentral:rRNA from 1 species